rnacentral:rRNA from 1 species
AUUGAACGCUGGCGGCAGGCCUAACACAUGCAAGUCGAGCGGAUGAAGGUAGCUUGCUAUCUGAUUCAGCGGCGGACGGGUGAGUAAUGCCUAGGAAUCUGCCUGGUAGUGGGGGACAACGUUUCGAAAGGAACGCUAAUACCGCAUACGUCCUAAGGGAGAAAGUGAGGGAUCUUCGGACCUCACGCUAUCAGAUGAGCCUAGGUACGAUUAGCUAGUUGGUGAGGUAAAGGCUCACCAAGGCGACGAUCGUUAACUGGUCUGAGAGGAUGAUCAGUCACACUGGAACUGAGACACGGUCCAGACUCCUACGGGAGGCAGCAGUGGGGAAUAUUGGACAAUGGGCGAAAGCCUGAUCCAGCCAUGCCGCGUGUGUGAAGAAGGUCUUCGGAUUGUAAAGCACUUUAAGUUGGGAGGAAGGGCAGUAAGUUAAUACCUUGCUGUUUUGACGUUACCGACAGAAUAAGCACCGGCUAACUUCGUGCCAGCAGCCGCAGUAACAC